CACCACUCAGCAGAACAAGCUCUCAGUUCAUGUCUGCAGGUACCCAAGACUAAAUCAGCCUGUUCUCUUUGUUUCAGCAGACACUGGGCCUGAAUGAGACUUCCCACCAAGUCAAGCUUUGAAGUAUCAGCUGUUCGAGCAUCCAAUUUUCAAAGCUUAUACUGGAGUCUUUAAAUUGUUCACCUGAGACAGAAGAGUUUGUGCUCUCAGGCUGACCAGGUG
rnacentral:lncRNA from 12 species